GUUGCAUCUCUAAUAUUCUUUUUUUUUUUUGUAGAAGAAGAAGCCAAUCAAACCAAAAGUUCCAAGAAAAAUGGAGUUAAGGAAAAGUGAUAGGACAAAGGUCCUUAAAUGCAAAAAUCUCAAAGGAGAAGGAAGUGGUUCAUCACAACCUAUGGAUGUGUAGAAAUUAAGCAUUUUGUUAUGGUCCUGUCAUGAUGUACUUUAUUAUGGUUAUGUCAUGGUGUAUUUUGUUAUAGUUAUUUGUUAUGGUCCUGUCAUGAUGUACUUUAUUAUGGUUAUGUCAUGGUGUAUUUUGUUAUAGUUUGAUACUUUAUUAUGGUGUGUAUUUUUGUAUUUUGAGACAUUUGUAUGCCUAUUAACUUUAUGUUAUUUUAAGACAUGAACCAUCAUUGUGUUAUCUAUAUUGCCUAUAUAUACUAUAGUAUUAUGCAAACUAA
rnacentral:lncRNA from 1 species